AUGGGCUCGCCGACGCCGACGCCGCCGCCGCCACCGACGCCAUCAUCACGGGCCAGCUGUUACUCCCUGCGCCUCCACCGGAGGCGGGCGGUGGCGGGUUUAAGAAGAAGGCCACACCGGGGCAAGAUGAAGCUCAUGUACUUUCUGAUGGACGGCGAGGGGGAGGAGCAGCGGUGCCGGGCGGAGGAGCUCCGGCUGGAGGUGUCGGAGCUGGAGGCCGUGCUGGCCAAGGAGGAGCGCCUCAGCCGGGUCCUCCGCUGCUCGCUCCAGGCCGGCCGCCUGGACGCCGCCGCCUGCCGCUGCUGCCUCUCCGCCAACCUCGUCCCAUCCAAGAUCAGGGGGCUCCUCGCGGAGCUGGCGAUCGUGGAGGACGAGAUAUUCUACCUCGAGAAGAAGGUCGACGACCUGCGGACGCGCCUCCUCCGGGAGCGCAACUGGACCCACCACUGCAUUCUUCAGCAGCAGCAGCAGCAGCGGCAGCGGCAGCAGGACUGGCCGCCGGGCCGGCACUGCAUUGGCCGGAGGGAGCUUCAUUGCGGCGAGCAGCUCCCCAGGCUGCCUGGUCCAGGCGGCGGCGGCGGUGGCGAUGGAGGAGGUCUCGAGCGUGAGAGCAAGGCCUCUGCCGGGUCUGUCUCUUCGCAAGGCGAGGAGACUGAUCAGAGCAGGAGAAGCAGCCACUCUUUCGAAAAUCUCAGACCCCCUGAAAGGAAAAUCUGCUCGAGCAGUCCAAACAAGCUGUCGGAGGACCUCAUCAAGCUGACGGUGACCAUCUUCCACAAGCUGAGCAGGACGACGAAUCAUGCAGACUCGGAGCUGGCGCUGAGCAGCGCGUCGAAGCUCAACAUCACCUCCUGCAUAGGCUCCUCCAGAAGCCUCGCCCCCAAGCUGUCGUCGUCGUCGUCGAGCGACGGUGCGGCGCCGCCCGUCCGCUCUGCCAAGAGCCGUGCAGCAGCGCCCCCGGAGUGCGGCGGCGACGAAGGGGAGGCGGCCGGCCGGUGCAAUAGGUUCGUCGAGUUCACCCGGAGCUCGUUCGACGCGAGCCGCGUGUCGCUGUGCCUCGCUGACAUCAAGAACUUGAGAGUGCUGAUGAACAAGCUGUGCACCGUGGAUCCGAGCUUCCUGACCAACAAGCAGAAGCUGGCCUUCUGGCUCAACAUCUACAACUUCUGCGUGAUGCAUGCAUUUCUUCAGCACGGUCUGCCUCCAUCGCCGGACAAGCUGCUGGCCCUGCUGAAUCAGGCUUCAGUGAAUGUGGGAGGAAGGGUGCUAAGCGUCCUGUCGAUCGAGCGUCUGUUCCUCAGGCACCCCCCUGUUGAAGGCAACAAGCAGGGGAUGAUGAUGGAGGAAGGGGAGCGGGAUAUGGAGCUCUGCUACGGGCUAGGGUACCCUGAACCCAACGUCGUCUUCGCGCUCUGCAGGGGCAGCCGCUCCUCGCCACCCGUCCGGGUGUACACGGCGGAGGAGGUGUCGAGCGAGCUGGAGGCGGCCAAGGUGGAGUACCUGGAGCGGUGCGUCCGGGUCGCCGGCGCGAGGCGGAAGAAGACGAAGUCGAAGGCCGCGGCGGCGACGAUCGUGCUGCCGAAGCUGCUGCACUGGCACAUGCGGUGCUUCGCCGACGACGUGGAGUCGCUGCUGGAGUGGGUCCACAGUCAGCUCCCGCGCGCCACCGGGGCGCCCGAGCUCAAGAGGGCCAUCAGGGAGCUACUCCACCGCGGCAGGCCUCCGACGCCGGAGAAGAUGGUGGAGAUCGAGCCUUACGACGCCGACUUCAGAUACCUACUGCCCCUCGUCUCGUGA
rnacentral:rRNA from 1 species